UAUGAUUUUAAAAGAUGGAGGAAUACAUGACUUUAAUAUAACAGUCAAUAAUUUAUGAUGGAGAUAACUAUUCAAGAGACAAACUCUCAGAGGGAUGCCAUUCCUUUAUUGUCAUUCUCUAAUGGUCGACUUGAUUCCAGUUCAGAUGUUAAAGUAAAGCAUUCCCUUUAUCAAGAGAAAGGUAUGAAGAGGAGGACACUGGUUACAAAGACGGACCACAUGACGUACAUUGGUACCAAUUACGAGACUGAGGGAACCAUGAGCACCUUCCCUUUUAGAAACAAAUGAUGUGACAAGACUAUUUAAUUAAAGACCUUUUCACACUGGCAAAAGGUGGUUUCCAAUUAAUGCACAUCACUCUCAUUUCACCUCCAGAGGUGGAUUGUAUCAACAAAGUGCAUCAAAAAGCUUCAAAACUGUUAGCCGCACUUAGAUUUUACCAGCUUUUAAUUAACUCUAUUAAUAAUCUUUUUAAAUUAAGACUCUGUAUAUGAUUGGUGUUCUUGAUAAAGAGACUGGUACUAUGGAGUUACAUAAUACUGAUAUAUUUCAUAUGACACCUUAUAUCAAAGGUAAAACUGAUACUCCAGUGACUGAUCCUAAUCCCUCCAAGCGUAAGUCCAUAUCCAAGGAAGAGUAUUCUGAGGGUCUUGAGAAAGUGAUGAUGUCAUUCGGUAGCUCUCGGGCAAAGAAGGCGUGGUCAGCGGCUAAGAGGAACCAUAUAGACUUGUCUAUGACAGACAAGUCUCUAUUCUUGUAAUGUGCCAUGCCAGUGCAACACGAGUGUAUUCCUCAGGCUAUUUUAGGCAUGGACGUCAUUUGUCAAGCAAAAUCAGGUAUGGGCAAGACUGCUGUCUUUGUCAUAGCAACGCUUCAGCAAUUGGAGAUAGUUGAGGGACAAGUCUCUGUUCUUGUAAUGUGCCAUGCCAGGUAAUGA